UCUUGAUUCAAGACUCUUGAUGUUUGUGUCGUCACUUUUAUGCAUCUCAUUAUUUAAAUUGUAUUUUUAUCUGUUAAUUAACGUCAUUCCAAUUAUGUCCCCAUCUUGGUAAUAAAUUUAACUCAAUCAGUCCCGUUAAAUAUCACUGAUUGAUAGGUUUAAUGCGUAUUAUGGUUGUAAAAUUUACACUUUCCUUCUUCUAUAUGGUUAUGUGCUCUGGUGUGUUCAUCAAUAUGGAUGGAAUCGAUGUUCAACUUGGUUAAAUAUUAUUGGCAAUUUGAAUAAAAUGAUUGGAAUCAACUUAAUUUUCCUUCUUUUAUGCAUAAAUUUAUUGGUCUGAAUGACAGAAAAGUACUCAUGAUAACUUCGACCUUCAAUAAUGUCUAAGACAACUUUUUUUAGCCUCUAUCAACGAUCCAAUCAGACUUCAAGUCAAGUUAUUCUAGAAGCAUGGAAGCUAAGAAAACGAAGAUGAAAUGGCAGCAAAAAAAAAGAUGGAAACCAGUGAUUCAAGAGGAAAAUUAAGCGGGAAAAUCAUCAAGAUGGUGGUUACAGUGAUGCUUACAGAAAGAUAAAUCUAAAUUAAUGCCUUUUCGAUUGGAUUGUAACCAGAGUUGCGUCACACAGUUUCAUUAUAUUUGGUUUUUUAUUCGUUGAAUUAAAUCACAGAUUGAUUCAGUUUUCAUCAUCUUCUUUUUUUGCUGCUUUUCAUCCUCUUCAUCUUCAUCUUCAACCAGUUCGUAAUUGUAAUUCAAAUGUUCAAAUGUCAAGUUUCAAUUUUAACAUCACUGGAAUCGUCAUUCUUUACGCAUCCAACCUCUGAUUACCACCGUAAUAUCUGAUGAAAUGUUUCAAAUAUUUUAAAUUAAAAAGCCGCAGGCCCUGAUGAUCAGCUCAAAAGAUAAUUAACUUGCAAUUAGCCACCUUACAUCGCUAUUAUUUUAUCAUCCUUAUCAUCCCAGUGAUCCUCAUUAUCAUAAUCAUUCUCGUGAUAUCAGUUAUCCUGGAAACUCUACGGGAUUUGGUUUCAUUCAACUUUUUCAACUGAAAUUCAACCUUUUCAAUUAUCUAAUUGAUUCCAGCUAUCAAAUUAACAAAUGAACUAAUCCUUGUUUUACAAUCUAGAUCAAUAUUUUGCUCUGUAUAUCAAAUCUCAUCAUGUAAAUCACCAAGGAAUCCUGGCGUAAAAUAUCCUACUAUUUCUAUAAUUA